rnacentral:rRNA from 1 species
UACGAAGGGGGCUAGCGUUGCUCGGAUUUACUGGGCGUAAAGGGCGCGUAGGCGGACAGUUAAGUUGGGGGUGAAAGCCCGGGGCUCAACCUCGGAAUUGCCUUCAAUACUGGUUGUCUUGAGUGUGAGAGAGGUGUGUGGAACUCCGAGUGUAGAGGUGAAAUUCGUAGAUAUUCGGAAGAACACCAGUGGCGAAGGCGACACACUGGCUCACUACUGACGCUGAGGCGCGAAAGCGUGGGGAGCAAACAGG